GGCUAAUCUGAGCUGGGCUGGGCUGGCUGGGCUGGCAUGAACUAAGCUGAGGGCUGUCUGGGUGUUGUGAUGAUGGUGAGCUGGCUGCUUUAUAUCAGUUCUGAGGCCUGGGUAUGCCAGCGCCGUGUCUUGGGGUCAUGCUGCCUGUCACCACGGACACUGGCUCCCUCGGCAGUGCCUGUGACCAGCCCCAAGGCUUUCCCGCUGCACAACCUCAGCCCUGAGUCGGAAGAACACAUGGAAGUCGCCUGCCUGAUUCAGGGCUUCUUCCCGGAGCCCGCGAACGUGAGCUGGAGCCACAGUGGGGAUGAAGUGACCAUCAGGACCUUCCCGCCUAGCCUGGCUGCCUCUGAUGGCCUGUACACCAUGACCAGCCAGCUGACCAUGCCGGCCGCCCAGUGCUCCAAAAACUCGCCCCCAAGAUGCCACGUGCAACACUUCUCAUACCAACAAGAUGUGGCCAUGUCCUGCCCAGUGCCGCCCUCGUGCUGCGAGCCCCGGCUGUCACUGCACAGACCAGCCCUGGAGGACCUGCUGCUGGGCUCGGACGCCAGCCUCACGUGCACACUGAGUGGCCUGAGGGACCCCAAGGGUGCCACCUUCACCUGGCAGCCCACAGGCGGGAAGGAUGCUGUCCAGGGCACACCCAAGCUCGACUCCUGCGGCUGCUACAGUGUGUCCAGCAUCCUGCCUGGCUGCGCCGAGCCCUGGAACAGUGGGGAGCACUUCACAUGCACCGCCACCCACCCUGAGUCCACCAAUCAGCUGACCGCCACCAUCUUCAAGCCCUCAGGGAACACCUUCCGGCCCCAGGUCCACCUGCUGCCGCCGCCGUCGGAGGAGCUGGCCCUGAACGAGCUGGUGACUCUGACAUGCCUGGUGCGAGGCUUUAGUCCCGAAGACGUGUUGGUGCGCUGGUUGGACGGGUCCCAGGAGCUGCUCCCUAAAGACUACGUGACGUGGGCCCCCCAGCCAGAACCCGGCAACAGUGCCCCCACCUUCGCUGUGAUCAGCAUGCUCCGCGUGGCGGCCGAGCGCUGGAAGGACGGCCAGAAAUACUCCUGCGUGGUGGGCCAUGAAGCCCUCCCCACAGCCUUCACCCAGAAGACCAUCGACCGCCAAGCGGGUAUACCCACGCGUGUCAACGUGUCCGUGAUCGUGGCCGAGGCAGAGGGCGUCUGCUACUGAGCCCGCCCGCUGCCCACCCUGCCCCGAAUAAACUGCUGGCCUGGAGCACCUGCCCUGCA